AACUCGCCUGCAUGAAGUCGGAAUUGCUAGUAAUCGUAGGUCAGCAUACUACGGUGAAUACGUUCCCGGGCCUUGUACACACCGCCCGUCAAACCAUGAGAGUUGGCAACACCCGAAGUCGGUAGUCUAACCGCAAGGAGGACGCCGCCGAAGGUGGGGGUUGAUGAUUAGGGUUAAGUCGUAACAAGGUACC
rnacentral:rRNA from 1 species